rnacentral:tRNA from 1 species
UAGGACUUGCAGGACAUUAACCUACAUUUCCUGAAUGCAACUCAGGCUCUUUAAAUUAAGAUAAAGCCCU